rnacentral:lncRNA from 1 species
GAAUAAUAUGUGAUUAUAAAUUAAGAAAGUUAACUCUGCAGUUCUGUUACUACUAUUAUGGAAGUCUUGGCAGACGGGCAAAUUUUUUCUAUCUUUUCGAGUCCUCCAUUAUAUUGAGCAGUAAGGUUUGAGGAAAGAAUUUACAUUUAUUAGCUUUGCAUUUGAUCAUAAUGUCGACUGAGUCAAUGGAGUUCAAGACAAGCAUGCUGCCUAACUUUACUCGAAGUUCCACAUAGAACCUUGGAAACUCAGGCGGUUAGGAUUCAUCAUAGACGUACAUUGAAAUGAUAAUACAUUGGAGAUAGAUACGCAAGUCUUCUUUUUAUCUAAUCUUAAUAGGAAAUUACAGUAGUUAGGAGG